GCUGGAGGGAUGACCCUGAGAAUCACAUUAUGUAUAUUUCUUUAGCGGUCGCCGCGAAUUUGCAUGUAGAAGACAGUUAAAAUAAGGCCAUAAAUCAGCGGGCAAACAUAUAAAUGGAUUUGUGGUGAGAUUGAAACCCCUGGCGAGUCUCCUGAGCAAAUAUUUCAAGCCUUCCUCGUACCUCGGCUCGGAGAUAUCGGCUGUCAUUAACUAGCCCGGGCCUCUCUGACCACUCGGCUUGUAUAUUCACUUCAUUACACGACGGGGGUGACGACUGUACGACUGGCUGCCCCCGAUAAAUUUACCUGCAUAUUCUGAUACGUGCUUUGUCAUCAGGGGAGAAGCACUAAAAGCUGAAGCUUUAUCUUAUUUCUCCAAUAGGUGUUUUGUCUAAUGAAAAGGGAGCAAUAUUGUCUCUUGAAACCUUGUCUUUGUCCAACCUGCAUAUCUGUAAAUAUCCAAGCACUAGCUGAUUAGUGUAUAAUGUUAUAUAAUACAAUAGGAGAUGUAAUGGGCACUUCAGUGUAUGUUUACUGUAUAUUCAUCAUCAUCAGGACAUAAACGCAAGGCAACACAAAGGAAAUUUACAUACAUGGCUGCUCUUUGCUCAGAUGCCUCUGUCAUCGCGCACCCGUCCAACAUGUCACAGCGGUCCAGCACAUACUACUCAAGUCAUCGCAAAGAAUCAACCAGCGAGGCCCAGAUGUUCUCCAACAGCUGACUGAAGGAAAGUAUGGCAUGUCCAGUCAAAUAGGCAGCAUCCUCCAUGUUGGCCAACACCUGCCUUUACAGCUGCUCCGCCUCGGGUUUCAUCUCAUUGCAUCCACAUGGCUACUGUAAAGAUGAAAACAUCUUGAUGAAAGUUGUAGGACACCAACAUCCACCAGUGAAGUUGUCAGGCUCACAUAUGGUUCUGGCAGGAUAUGAGGAGAAGAUGACUUGUAGGUGAUGGAGCUGCUGGAUGCUGUUAAAGCCUGUUGGCAGUUGUGGAGGUGUCUGCUAUUGACAAACAGAUAGAUAUGGUCCAUUUGGUUGGACUCAUCCAACUGUUUGUGGUUUUUAAAUAUGUUUAAGAAAAUAUGCCUUUGGAACUGGAAGAGGUUGACUGCACAGUCAUUUACUGGCUACUCUGUUCUGUGUUUGAUUUCACAAUUGAGCAGUAAACAACAUCUUGGCUUU